rnacentral:lncRNA from 1 species
GGAUCUAGGGAAAAUUGUCUACCUCGCUGGGUCUGCCUGUCUGCCUGCCUGCCUGCCUUCCUUCCUUCCUUCCUUUUUUCUUUCCUUCUUUCCUUCCUUCCUUCCUUCCUUGUUUUCCUUUCUCUCUCUCUCUCUCUCUCUCUCUCUCUCUUUUCCGUUAGAGACAAGGUCUCGCUCGGAUCUGCACGCCCAGGCUGGAGUGCAGUAACGCCAUCGCGGCUCACUGCAGCCUCGAGCUCCUGCCCUCAAGCGAUCCUCCCACCUCAGCCUCCUGAGUAGCUGGGACCACAGACACGCGCCACCACAACCGGCCAAUUUUUAGGGUUUUUUUUUUUUUUUUUUUUUUUUUUUUUUUUUUUUUUCUGUAGAGACGGGGUCUCGCGAUGUUGCCCAGGCUGGUCUUGAACACCUGGGUUUAAGAGAUCCUCCAUCGACCUCCCAAAGUUCUGGGAUUAUAGGUGUGAGGCGUUGGGUCCAGGCCCCGGGUUUUCCGUGUGUGUGUGUGUGUGUGUGUUUUUAAUUGAGACGGAGUCUUGCACUGUCACCUGGGCUGGAGUGUAGUAGCUUGAUCUUGGCUCACUGCAACCUCUGCCUCCCAGGUUCAAACAAUUCUUCUGCCUCAGCCUCCCGAGUAGCUGGGAUUACAGGUGCCCGCCACCAUGCCCAGCUAAUUUUUUGUAUUUUUAGUACCGAUGGGGUUUCACCAUGUUGGCCAGGCUGGUUUCGAACUCCUGAUCUCGUGAUCCGCCCACCUCUACCUCCCAAAGUGUUGGGAUUACAGGCGUGAGCCACCACGCUCGGCCUUCCUUGUCUUUAUUUUUGAUUUACUUCCUAUCAAAAGGCGUGUGGCACCCGUCUUUAGGGGGGGUUCAAACCCCGAAUCUGCCUCUUGCCAGUUCAGCGCCAGUAGGCGCUUACUUAGUUCUCUGUGGUUCAGUUUCCUCUCUGUAAAAGGUAGUAAUAUAAUAGCACCUAUCUACCAGAUUAUCAUUAAGACUAAAUGCGGGGCCGGGCGCGGUGGCUCAUGCCUGUAAUCCCAGCAUUUUGGGAGACCGAGGUGGGCGGGUCAUGAGGUCAGGAAAUCGAGACCAUCCUGGCUAAGACUAUGAAACCCUGUCUCUACUAAAAAUAAAAAAAAAACUAGCCGGGCGGCGUGGUGGCGGGCGCCUGUAAUCCCAGCUACUCAGGAGGCUAAAGCAGAUAACUGCUUGAACCCGGGAGGCAGAGGUUACAGUGAGCAGAGAUCGCGCCACCACACCCCAGCCUGGGCAACAGAGUGAGACUCCCUCUCAAAAAAAAAAAAAAAA